UUGAACGCUGGCGGCAUGCCUUACACAUGCAAGUCGAACGGCAGCACGGGUGCUUGCACCUGGUGGCGAGUGGCGAACGGGUGAGUAAUACAUCGGAACAUGUCCUGUAGUGGGGGAUAGCCCGGCGAAAGCCGGAUUAAUACCGCAUACGAUCUACGGAUGAAAGCGGGGGACCUUCGGGCCUCGCGCUAUAGGGUUGGCCGAUGGCUGAUUAGCUAGUUGGUGGGGUAAAGGCCUACCAAGGCGACGAUCAGUAGCUGGUCUGAGAGGACGACCAGCCACACUGGGACUGGGACACGGCCCAGACUCCUACGGGAGGCAGCAGUGGGGAAUUUUGGACAAUGGGCGAAAGCCUGAUCCAGCAAUGCCGCGUGUGUGAAGAAGGCCUUCGGGUUGUAAAGCACUUUUGUCCGGAAAGAAAUCCUUGGCUCUAAUACAGUCGGGGGAUGACGGUACCGGAAGAAUAAGCACCGGCUAACUACGUGCCAGCAGCCGCGGUAAUACGUAGGGUGCGAGCGUUAAUCGGAAUUACUGGGCGUAAAGCGUGCGCAGGCGGUUUGCUAAGACCGAUGUGAAAUCCCCGGGCUCAACCUGGGAACUGCAUUGGUGACUGGCAGGCUAGAGUAUGGCAGAGGGGGGUAGAAUUCCACGUGUAGCAGUGAAAUGCGUAGAGAUGUGGAGGAAUACCGAUGGCGAAGGCAGCCCCCUGGGCCAAUACUGACGCUCAUGCACGAAAGCGUGGGGAGCAAACAGGAUUAGAUACCCUGGUAGUCCACGCCCUAAACGAUGUCAACUAGUUGUUGGGGAUUCAUUUCCUUAGUAACGUAGCUAACGCGUGAAGUUGACCGCCUGGGGAGUACGGUCGCAAGAUUAAAACUCAAAGGAAUUGACGGGGACCCGCACAAGCGGUGGAUGAUGUGGAUUAAUUCGAUGCAACGCGAAAAACCUUACCUACCCUUGACAUGGUCGGAAUCCCGCUGAGAGGUGGGAGUGCUCGAAAGAGAACCGGCGCACAGGUGCUGCAUGGCUGUCGUCAGCUCGUGUCGUGAGAUGUUGGGUUAAGUCCCGCAACGAGCGCAACCCUUGUCCUUAGUUGCUACGCAAGAGCACUCUAAGGAGACUGCCGGUGACAAACCGGAGGAAGGUGGGGAUGACGUCAAGUCCUCAUGGCCCUUAUGGGUAGGGCUUCACACGUCAUACAAUGGUCGGAACAGAGGGUUGCCAACCCGCGAGGGGGAGCUAAUCCCAGAAAACCGAUCGUAGUCCGGAUUGCACUCUGCAACUCGAGUGCAUGAAGCUGGAAUCGCUAGUAAUCGCGGAUCAGCAUGCCGCGGUGAAUACGUUCCCGGGUCUUGUACACACCGCC
rnacentral:rRNA from 1 species